GACGAACGCUGGCGGCGUGCUUAACACAUGCAAGUCGAACGGUGAAAGGGAGCUUGCUCCCUGGAUCAGUGGCGAACGGGUGAGUAACACGUGGGCAACCUGCCCCAGACUUCGGGAUAACGCUUCGAAAGAGGUGCUAAUACCGGAUACGAACUCCUUGGGCAUCCUUGGAGUUGGAAAGUUUUUCGGUCUGGGAUGGGCCCGCGGCCUAUCAGCUUGUUGGUGAGGUAACGGCUCACCAAGGCGACGACGGGUAGCCGGCCUGAGCGGGCGACGGGCCACACUGGGACUGAGACACGGCCCAGACUCCUACGGGAGGCAGCAGUGGGGAAUAUUGCGCAAUGGGCGAAAGCCUGACGCAGCAACGCCGCGUGAGGGAUGACGGCCUUCGGGUUGUAAACCUCUUUCAGCAGGGAAGAAGCGAAAGUGACGGUACCUGCAGAAGAAGCACCGGCUAACUACGUGCCAGCCGCCGCCGUAA
rnacentral:rRNA from 1 species